rnacentral:rRNA from 1 species
CCUACGGGAGGCUGCAGUGAGGAAUAUUGGUCAAUGGACGGAAGUCUGAACCAGCCAUGCCGCGUGCAGGAAGACGGCUCUAUGAGUUGUAAACUGCUUUUGUACAAGGGUAAACCUGAAUACGUGUAUUCAGCUGAAAGUAAUGUACGAAUAAGGAACGGCCUAAUCCGUGCCCGCAACCGGGGUAAUACGGAGGAUUCAAGCGUUAUCCGGGUUUAAUUGGUUUAAAGGGUGCGUAGGCGGAUUGAUAAGUUAGAGGUGAAAUGUCCGAGCUUAACUCGGGAACUGCCUCUAAUACUGUUGAUCUAGUGAGUAGAUGCGGUAGGCGGAAUGUAUGGUGUAGCGGUGAAAUGCUUAGAGAUCAUACAGAACACCGAUUGCGAAGGCAGCUUACCAAUCUAUAUCUGACGUUGAGGCACGAAAGCGUGGGGAGCAAACAGGAUUAGAUACCCCUGUAGUC